ACAGGCUGGCCAGACCUCCAGUGCCAGCAGUGUAGCAGGGCAUAGCACAGGAAGCCUGCAGGUCUUCUUUAAUAUUUCUCGCAACAGACAUGCAUGGUAUGUACCGACUAAUAAAUGGAAAUUAGCAGAAAGAAAGAGAGAGAGAGAGAAAGAAAGAAAGAAAGAAAGAAAGAAAGAAAGAAAGAAAGAAAGAAAGAAAAAAUUAAAAAGUACAGAAUACCCAAGAUACAGUCCACAGAACUCGAAAAGGGAUGGAAAUGGAGAGUAGCCUGAGACAAAGAAGAUCUGGCGACAGGCCCAAACUGGGAUCCAGCUCAAGAAGAGGUCUGGAGGCCUGACACUAUUACUGAGGCUAUGGAGCGCUCACAAAAAAGGGACCUAUCAUGACCGUCCUCCAGAAGACCAACAAGCAGCUCAAAGUGUCAGAUGCAGAUAUUUCCACCCAACCAAUGUUCAGAAGCUGCUGACCCCUGUGGUUGAAUUAGGGAAAGACUAGAAGAAGCUGAGGAGGAGGGCAGCCCUCUAAGAGGACCAGGAGUCUCAAUUAACCUGGUCCCCCGAGAUCUCUCAAACACUGGACCACCAACCAGGAAGCAUAUACCAGAUGACAUGAGGCCCCAAACACAGACACAGCUGAGGACUGCUGGGUCUGGAAGAUACACCGAACCCUCAAGAGACUGGAGGCCCCGAUGCUGAACAAGUAAGAAGCCUCAUUUAUAGCUUUGAAAUUGCUGGAAGAACUUCUGUGAUAAGGAGUGCUAUGAAUGGGGAUCUUAGGUUCUUCAAGUAGUGAUGGUGGAUUUAUCAUCAUUAUCAUCACCAUCAUUGCUUAUUUUAUUUAUGGGUUGUGUUGAUGUUCAUGUUCAGGAGUUUGUACACAUUAAACAUUUUUGCUU
rnacentral:lncRNA from 1 species